rnacentral:sRNA from 1 species
CUCCCUACGGUUCACCUCAGGUCCGCCGCAACUCCUGAAGUCCGUAGGGCGGCUGGUCCGGAGUGCUGUGAGCCUCUUCGGCACCUCCUCCGGACCGGCCACUCU